rnacentral:rRNA from 1 species
AGACGUCUACAUUAGAUACCCGGGUAGUCCCAGCCGUAAACUAUGCGCGUUAGGUGUAUCGGUGACCACGAGUCACCGAGGUGCCGAAGGGAAACCGUGAAACGUGCCGCCUGGGAAGUACGGUCGCAAGGCUGAAACUUAAAGGAAUUGGCGGGGAGCACCACAACAGGUGGAGCCUGCGGUUUAAUUGGACUCAACGCCGGGAAGCUCACCGGAUAGGACAGCAGAAUGAUUGCCGGGCUGAAGACCCUGCAUGACUAGCUG